UCCCAGUGAUGAAAUCCUUUGCGUCCUACUGUCUGUUUUGGGGCCAGAACCUGCAAAGGUUGAACCCACUGGCACCGGCAGAUGGAAAAGAGGAAGAUCUGCUACAGAAGGAGCCGUCUGAUGGGAC